rnacentral:rRNA from 1 species
AUUGAACGCUGGCGGCAUGCCUUACACAUGCAAGUCGAACGGCAGCACGGGGCAACCUGGUGGCAAGUGGCGAACGGGUGAGUAAUGCAUCGGAACGCACCUUUCAGUGGGGGAUAACGUAGCGAAAGUUACGCUAAUACCGCAUAUUCUGUGAGCAGGAAAGCAGGGGAUCGCAAGACCUUGCGCUGAUUGAGCGGCCGAUGUCAGAUUAGCUAGUUGGUGAGGUAAAGGCUCACCAAGGCGACGAUCUGUAGCGGGUCUGAGAGGAUGAUCCGCCACACUGGAACUGAGACACGGUCCAGACUCCUACGGGAGGCAGCAGUGGGGAAUUUUGGACAAUGGGGGCAACCCUGAUCCAGCCAUGCCGCGUGAGUGAAGAAGGCCUUCGGGUUGUAAAGCUCUUUCGGCCGGGAAGAAAUCGCACGGGCUAAUACCCUGUGUGGAUGACGGUACCGGAAUAAGAAGCACCGGCUAACUACGUGCCAGCCGCCGCAGUAAAAC